rnacentral:rRNA from 1 species
CCCUUAGAUGUUCUGGGCUGCACACGUGCUACACUGGCAGGUUCAGCGAGCUUCAUGCCCUGAUCUGAAAGGAAUGGGAAAUCUUUUCAAAACCUGCCGUGCUUGGGAUAGAUGUUUGCAAUUAUUCAUCUUCAACGAGGAUUGCCUUGUAAGCGCACGUCAUCAGCGUGCAUUGAAUACGACCCUGUAUUCUGUACACACCGCCCGUCGCUCCUACCGAUUGAAGUUUUCGGUGAGUUGACAGGAGGAUUUUUUUGAAACUGGUUCGCCAGUGGAUUUUAGAUCCAAAUGCCAACGAAUCGAGGGCUUUAGAGGAAGGAGAAGUCGUAACG